rnacentral:lncRNA from 1 species
UCCGCAAUGGAGAAUCUUAAGAUCGCGAUGGAGUUUCUAAAAAAAUUUUUUUCGCCUGGUGAGAAACAGUACUUGGACGGACAAGGGGCUUAACAUAGGAUGACUGGCGCCCUAAGGUCUCUUGCUCAGAUAGGGAAUCUUUGGAUCUCUUCUUUUGAUCUCCCACAACUUGCGGUAUUUAAUCUCACCUGGCUUUAUGUAAAUUUUGUACAUAUAGGACAUUAUUUGGCCAACUUCGUUGGCUCCACCUCUGAGGCUUCGGCAUUGGAGCUUAC